rnacentral:rRNA from 1 species
CAGCAGCCGCGGGAAUACGUAGGGUGCAAGCGUUAUCCGGAAUUAUUGGGCGUAAAGAGCUCGUAGGCGGUUUGUCGCGUCUGCUGUGAAAACUGGAGGCUCAACCUCCAGCCUGCAGUGGGUACGGGCAGACUAGAGUGCGGUAGGGGAGAUUGGAAUUCCUGGUGUAGCGGUGGAAUGCGCAGAUAUCAGGAGGAACACCGAUGGCGAAGGCAGAUCGCUGGGCCGUAACUGACGCUGAGGAGCGAAAGCAUGGGGAGCGAACAGGAUUAGAUACCCGAGUAGUCCCUGUCUCUUAUAA